CAACAGCGCACUGUCGAUGUCUCCUCGCGCGGUGAUGAAACGCUUGCAAGUAAGUCGCCAAGAUCGGAGAACAGCUCAACUCAACUCUUUUACCUUUGAGGAGGUUCCAGCUGUGGUACUGGAGGAAAAGGGAUUGAAAGGAACUAUAAAAGGUAAACACGCUGCACAGAACUAUAAAAUUCUCACUGGUUUCAUCACCAUUUAAGGAGACACCAAUUCACAGAAACUUAAUAGGUUUCAGGUGGUUACUAUGCAGCCAGCUUCGUCAUCGGCCAAAGCCUACACACCAUCGAGGACAUCUUCAAGCGCCGGUGCCUCAGGAGGGGGGCAUCCAUCAUUCAGGACCCUCAACAUCCAGGACGUGCCCUGUUCUCAUUACUACCACCGGAGAGGAGGUACAGGAACCUGAAGGCACACACUCAACGAUUCAGGAACAGUUCCUGUUCCUCUGCCAUCAGAUUCCUGAACGGACAUUGAACCCAUGAACACUACCUCACUGUUUCUCUUUUGCAUUAUGUACUUAUUUUUAUUGUAACUGACUUUCACUUGGCGCGCCCGCACCGUACUGCUGCCACAAAGCAACGCAUUCCACGACUGAUUCCAGUGACGAACGUGCCAUCACCUACCUGGCAGCUUGAAACCAUUCAUCGUAAAGGUCAAACGUCAUGAGCGGCUGAGGUAAUUCACGGAGGUUACGGGAGUGCUGCUGAGGACCUGAACGAUCGGGAAAUGGGACAGACACACAAGCCAGAUCCUCGCCAAUAAGCGCCUGGUCUAACGUCUGCGGGAGGAAAGGGUGGCGACACCACCCAGAAAUGGCCUCCAGCACAUCUCACUGCGAGAGCGUUACGUUUUCACAUCACUUCGCUCUGAAACGUCAGACCUCACUUGGAGUACUGGGAGCAGUUUUGGGCUCCUUAUUUAAGAUGCUGCCUGGCCCGCUGAGGUCCACCGGCUUUUCGCCUGUGCUGCUCUGGGUUUCCACCAUCUGCAGAACGGACCUGAAGAAGGGUCUUGGGUGGCAUCAUGGACUGUUUAUUCUUCUCCAUGGAUGCUGCCUGACCUGCUGAGUUCCUCCAGCAUUCUCUGUGCCUUACUCCAAAUACAAGAGGCGAGAGGGGAAAAGUUUGAAGGAGAUUUGUGAGUUCCGUAAUCAGAGAGGCACAGCAGCGUCGCGGGCCGGCGCUGCCCGGUCACACGCACGCGACCGAUUAACCUACUAACCCGCACGUCUUUAUCACGCGGGAGGAAACCCACGCGGCCACGGGGAGAACGUACAGACUCCUUACGGGCAGAGGCAGGAUUGACCCUGGGUCACUGGCGCUGUCGGAGCGUCACGUUAACCUGGUCAACGUUUCUCUGUACUGUAGCUGAGGUCCUCAAGCCCCAGCAACAUGCUUGUACUGUAAGUAUAUGUAUAUAAGCUGUACGCCAAUAAAUAAAUAAAAGUCUCAAAUGUUUCUGCUUCUAUAACCACCCUGGCAGUUCAUUCCAGACACCCAACACCCACUCACGAACUCCACCACACCUUCAGUAUUUCCUGCCAGUCACAUCGUGUACAGUCCAGCGUCACUUCAUGUUCACAAUCUGUGAACAUAAGCUAUCUUACUCAUAUUUAUUGUGUGUUUUGUUAUUAGAAACACAGAAAUCUACAGCACAUUACAGGCCUUUCGGCCCACAAUGUUGUGCUGACCAUGUAACCUAAUAGUCAUAGUCAUAGUCAUACUUUAUUGAUCCCGGGGGAAAUUGGUUUUCAUUACAGUUGCACCAUAAAUAAUUAAAUAGUAAUAAAACCAU